AGGUCUUCACCAAGCAGGUGGACUCAGAGAGAAGAGAGGGACUAAGCCUGCCUGGGUGUUAUCAUGGCCUUUUAGAUCCUAAUGUGUCUUUGGAUCUCCAACUCGGGCUCUUGACUUCAUGGAUACAAGGCACCCCCCCAACCCCCC